rnacentral:rRNA from 1 species
AUUGAACGCUGGCGGCAGGCCUAACACAUGCAAGUCGAGCGGAGCGGCGGACGGGUGAGUAAUGCCUAGGAAUCUGCCUGGUAGUGGGGGAUAACGUCCGGAAACGGGCGCUAAUACCGCAUACUAUCAGAUGAGCCUAGGUCGGAUUAGCUAGUUGGUGGGGUAAAGGCCUACCAAGGCGACGAUCCGUAACUGGUCUGAGAGGAUGAUCAGUCACACUGGAACUGAGAAAGGGUCCAGACCCCGCCGGAGGGAGGCGGUGGGGAAUAUUGGAGAAUGGGGGAAAGCCGGAUCCAGCCAUGCGGCGGGUGUGAAGAAGGUCUUUGGAUUGUAAGGCCCUUUAAGUUGGAGGGCGUUACAAACAAAAUGAGCACCGGCUAACUUCGUGCCAGCCGCCGGGGUAAAUC